UAUCUCUGUAGAGUCUGCAUAUCAAUAAGCGGAGGAAAAGAAACUAACUAGGAUUCCCUCAGUAACGGCGAGUGAAGCGGGAAGAGCUCAAAUUUGAAAUCUUCAAGGUUUUACCUUGACGAAUUGUAGUUUAAAGAAGUGUUUUCUGUUGGAAGUUCUGGUAAAAGUUCUUUGGAAUAGGACAUCAUAGAGGGUGAGAAUCCCGUACUUGACCAUUAUUUCCAACUUUGUGAUACACUUUCAAAGAGUCGGAUUGUUUGGGAAUGCAGUCCAAAAUGGGUGGUAAAUUUCAUCUAAAGCUAAAUACUGGCGAGAGACCGAUAGCGAACAAGUACCGUGAGGGAAAGAUGAAAAGAACUUUGAAAAGAGAGUUAAACAGUACGUGAAAUUGUCAAAAGGGAAGCGUUUGACACCAGUGUUGUUUUCUCGAAAAUCAAUUAAAAAAGAUUGGAUUUUGUGUUGUAUUGACUUUAUCAGCUUUCUGCACUCUUUUCUUGUCUUUUUUAAUGCACUUUUCGUUUAACAAGUCAACAUCAAUUUCUUUUGUUGUAAAAGGGUCAUUGGAAGGUGGCUUUCUUUUCGGAGAAAGUGUUUAUAGCCUUUGGCCUCUGCAAUCGGAGAGAUUGAGGUCUGCAGCGUAGAUCCUUCGGGGUUAGAUACAUUUGUGCUAAGUUAUAGCCUUUCAUAGACAACUUGUUGGCUAUGAUCAGUCAUGUAGCUUACUCGCUUAUGCUAUUUUACCUACGCUUAGGAUGUUGAGUAGCGACAUACGCAC
rnacentral:rRNA from 1 species